rnacentral:rRNA from 1 species
UACGUAGGUGGCAAGCGUUGUCCGGAUUUACUGGGCGUAAAGGAUGCGUAGGUGGAUAUUUAAGUGGGAUGUGAAAUACCCGGGCUCAACUUGGGUGCUGCAUUCCAAACUGGAUAUCUAGAGUGCAGGAGAGGUAAGUGGAAUUCCUAGUGUAGCGGUGAAAUGGGUAGAGAUUAGGAAGAACACCAGUGGCGAAGGCGACUUACUGGACUGUAACUGACACUGAGGCAUGAAAGCGUGGGGAGCAAACAGG